rnacentral:rRNA from 1 species
UAAUGGGGAUCUUCGGAUCCUGAUUAAAGUGGCGCACGGGUGAGUAACACGUAGGCAACCUGCCCCCGGAAAUGGGACAACAGUUCGAAAGGACUGCUAAUACCGUAUAAGACCACGGUUUCUACGGAGACAGUGGGAAAAGAUGGCCUCUACUUGUAAGCUGUCAUCUGGGGAUGGGCCUGCGGCCUAUUAGCUUGUUGGUGGGGUAAUGGCCUACCAAGGCGAAGAUGGGUAGCUGGUCUGAGAGGACGAUCAGCCACACUGGAACUGAGACACGGUCCAGACUCCUACGGGAGGCAGCAGUGGGGAAUAUUGCGCAAUGGGCGAAAGCCUGACGCAGCAACGCCGCGUGUGUGAUGACGCCCUUCGGGGUGUAAAGCACUGUUGUAGGGGAAGAAAUCAUAUUCGGUCAAUACCCGUAUAUGUUGACGGUACCCUGCGAGGAAGCACCGGCUAACUCUGUGCCAGCAGCCGCGGUAAGACAGAGGGUGCAAGCGUUGUUCGGAAUCACUGGGCGUAAAGAGUUCGUAGGCGGCUUAGCAGGUCGGGUGUGAAAUCCCUCGGCUUAACCGAGGAAUUGCAUUCGAAACCGCUUGGCUUGGAUACCGGAGAGAGUAGCGGAAUUCCUGGUGUAGGGGUGAAAUCCGUAGAUAUCAGGAGGAACACCGGUGGCGAAGGCGGCUACUUGGACGGAUAUUGACGCUGAGGAACGAAAGCGUGGGUAGCAGACAGGAUUAGAUACCCUGGUAGUCCACGCCGUAAACGAUGAGCACUAGGUGUCGAGGGAGUUGACCCCCACGGUGCCGUAGCUAACGCAUUAAGUGCUCCGCCUGGGGAGUACGACCGCAAGGUUAAAACUCAAAGGAAUUGACGGGGUCCCGCACAAGCGGUGGAGUAUGUGGUUUAAUUCGAUGCAACGCGAAAAACCUUACCUGGGUUUAACAUCCUUGGAAUUCUCUGGAAACAGGGAAGUGCCCUUCGGGGAGCCGAGUGAUAGGUGCUGCAUGGCUGUCGUCAGCUCGUGUCGUGAGAUGUUGGUUAAGUCCCGCAACGAGCGCAACCCCUGCCCCUAAUUGCCAUCAGAUAAUGCUGGGAACCUUAGUGGGACUGCCGAAGUCAAGUCGGAGGAAGGUGGGGAUGACGUCAAGUCCUCAUGGCCUUUAUAUCCAGGGCUACACACGUACUACAAUGGCCGAUACAAAGGGUUGCGAACCCGCGAGGGUAAGCUAAUCUCAAAAAAACGGCCUCAGUUCAGAUUGGAGUCUGCAACUCGACUCCAUGAAGGAGGAAUCGCUAGUAAUCGCGGAUCAGCAUGCCGCGGUGAAUACGUUCCCGGGACUUGUACACACCGCCCGUCACACCACGAAAGCUGUUUGCACUAGAAGCCGGUGAGCUAACCUUCGGGAGGCAGCCGUCCACGGUGUGAAUGGUGAUUGGGGUGAAGUCGUAACAAGGUA